rfam:Triticum urartu cultivar G1812 contig1005134, whole genome shotgun sequence.
UCUAGACUCUUCCGUUUCGAAUUACUUGUUUUAGAUUUGUCUAGAUACGGAUGUAUCUAGCACUAAAAUGAGUCUAGAUACAUCGAGUCUAGAUACAUCCGUAUCUAGACAAAUCUAAGACAAGUAAUUCGGAACGGAGGGAGUAAUAA